GCACUGCUGAGGAGUCCCAUACUAGGACGAAACGGACAACUGUCCAGUGC
rnacentral:hammerhead_ribozyme from 1 species